rnacentral:rRNA from 1 species
GACGAACGCUGGCGGCGUGCUUAACACAUGCAAGUCGAACGGAAAGGCCCUGCUUGCAGGGUACUCGAGUGGCGAACGGGUGAGUAACACGUGGGUGAUCUGCCCUGCACUUCGGGAUAAGCCUGGGCAACUGGGUCUAAUACCGGAUAGGAGCCAUUUUUAGUGUGAUGGUUGGAAAGUUUUUUCGGUGUAGGAUGAGCUCGCGGCCUAUCAGCUUGUUGGUGGGGUAAUGGCCUACCAAGGCGGCGACGGGUAGCCGGCCUGAGAGGGUGGACGGCCACAUUGGGACUGAGAUACGGCCCAGACUCCUACGGGAGGCAGCAGUGGGGAAGAUUGCACAAUGGGCGCAAGCCUGAUGCAGCGACGCCGCGUGGGGGAUGACGGCCUUCGGGUUGUAAACUCCUUUCGCUAGGGACGAAGCUUUUUGUGACGGUACCUAGAGAAGAAGCACCGGCUAACUACGUG